GGAGUCUCGCUCUGUCGCCCAGGCUGGAGUGCAGUGGCGCCAUCUCGGAUCACUGCAAGCUCCACCUCCCGGGUUCAAGCGAUUCUCCUGCCUCAGUCUCCCGAGUAGCUGGGACUACAGGCACCUGCCACCACGCCUGGCUAUUUUUUUGUAUCUUUAAUAGAGAAGGGGUUUCACUAUGUUGGCCAGGCUGGUCUCGAAUUCCUGACCUUGUCAUCCACCCACCUCGGCCUCUCAAAGUGCCGGAAUUACAGGUCCUCAAGGUACAUCGUUGGGAUCAAGCAACUUUGAUCCCAAGGAGAAGAAUAAAAACAAGAGGGACGACUGGGCCAAGGUGCCAUGUGAAGUGACCUGUGAGGAUCAACCCAGUGAAGAUGCUUGAGGAAGACAUGCUAGAGCAAAAACUACAACUCUGGUCCUCUUGGAUAUUUUAGAUAAGGACUUUACCCACAUAAAGAAGGUGUUGCCCUGGGGACUGGCUGAGAGAAAUUACAGUUGUUGUCUCUCUUGCUUAAAGACUCUGGCUGUUUAUCUCAGAGCACGUACAGAAAUUGAAAUGUACAAAAGUGGAAGUUAUUAAAUAGAGACCACACAAGAUACCCACUCUAAUUGAAUGAAGGCCUUUUCAUGACAUCAAUUCAGCUGCAGUAUCUUCAGUUCUUACAGUGGGGAAGCCAGAAUCUCUAGACAUGGGAAGAAGGGCUUAUGAGUUGUGUUCUGACUGUUACUCACUUCAAAAGAAACGGACUGCUACAGUGGUACUUACGUCACCAGAAAGAAACACUUCCACAAAGAAUUUGAUUUGAUGGCAUCAUGUGGACAUAGAACUCUCAUAGUAAUGACCCAACCUGUGUUUCCAGUCAUCCUGAUGAACUCUCAACAAAAUCAGAUUGUUAUACUGUUGUUCUCACUUUACACCGAUAUUUUCUCUUGCUCCUAAAAAAAGUAUCUGGUAUUAAAUAGAAUUCUGUAUCUUAAAAAACUUGCCAUUGAGAAAAAUGAGAAGUAACUGUACAUUUUAAUACUGAAGGUUUUAAUAAAAAAAGCAGUGUGAA
ensembl:lncRNA novel transcript